rnacentral:rRNA from 1 species
CAGAGGGGGAUAACGUUUGGAAACGAACGCUAAUACCGCAUGAUAUUAUUGAGCUGCAUGGCUUGAUAAUCAAAGGAGCAAUCCGCUGAAAGAUGGGCUCGCGUCCGAUUAGGUAGUUGGCGGGGCAACGGCCCACCAAGCCGACGAUCGGUAGCCGGACUGAGAGGUUGAACGGCCCCAUUGGGACUGAGACACGGCCCAGACUCCUACGGGAGGCAGCAGUGAGGGAUAUUGGUCAAUGGGGGAAACCCUGAACCAGCAACGCCGCGUGAGGGAAGACGGUUUUCGGAUUGUAAACCUCUGUCCUCUGUGAAGAUGAUGACGGUAGCAGAGGAGGAAGCUCCGGCUAACUACGUGCCAGCAGCCGCGGUAAUACGUAGGGAGCAAGCGUUGUCCGGAUUUACUGGGUGUAAAGGGUGCGUAGGCGGCUUUGCAAGUCAGAAGUGAAAUCCAUGGGCUUAACCCAUGAACUGCUUUUGAAACUGCAGAGCUUGAGUGGAGUAGAGGUAGGCGGAAUUCCCGGUGUAGCGGUGAAAUGCGUAGAGAUCGGGAGGAACACCAGUGGCGAAGGCGGCCUGCUGGGCUCUAACUGACGCUGAGGCACGAAAGCGUGGGUAGCAAACAGGAUUAGAUACCCUGGUAGUCCACGCUGUAAACGAUGAUUACUAGGUGUGGGUGGACUGACCCCAUCCGUGCCGGAGU